rnacentral:rRNA from 1 species
UACGGGGGGGGCAAGCGUUGUUCGGAAUUACUGGGCGUAAAGGGCUCGUAGGUGGCCAACUAAGUCAGACGUGAAAUCCCUCGGCUCAACCGGGGAACUGCGUCUGAUACUGGAUGGCUUGAAUCCGGGAGAGGGAUGUGGAAUUCCAGGUGUAGCGGUGAAAUGCGUAGAUAUCUGGAGGAACACCGGUGGCGAAGGCGGCAUCCUGGACCGGUAUUGACGCUGAGUGAGCGAAAGCCAGGGGAGCAAACGGGG